GGUGGUAGUAGCUCAGCAGGUAGAGUGUGUUUUCUGGUAACCGGAAGGUCGCUGGUUCAAUCCCCGGCUCCUCCUA